UGUGGGCAGCUGGAGAGGUGGGGUCAUGGCAGACCAGAGGUCAGUGCUGUCCUGUAGGAGAGCCCACAGAAGAAAGAGGCCCUUUGCCAAAGGAGAUUUUUAUUUUACUGUCUCCAAAAGGUCUGGGACUCUGGGCCCUGGGGCAGAGGCAGGGCGGCAACCUGAGCUGCCUGGCAGAGAUGUCAGAAUCCGCAGAGGUGAGCCCACCAGCCAGUAGUGGCCAUUUGUCCAGUUGUCUAUGAAAGAGUAUCAGGUAUUAGACACUAUUCUCACGAGAAAGUGAGUUAGAGAAAAGAAAAUCAUAAAGAAGAGAAAAUAUAUUCGCUCAUCAUGACGUGGAAGCGGAUCAUCUUAAAGGUCUUCAUUCUUGAUGUCUUCAUGUCAAGUAGGCUGAGGAGGAGGAGGAAGAGGAGGGAUUGGUCUUGCCAUCUCAGGGGUGGCAGAGGCAAAAGAAAAUCCAUGCAUAAGUGGACCGUGCAGUUCAAACUUGUGUUGUUCAAGGAUCAACUGUGUAGACUUUCUCCUUCUCUAGACGGGACUUCAAGAUAGAAUGGACCCUCUGUCAUCAUUUUUGCAUCUCCAACAGCCACAACAGUGCUUUAUAUAUAACAAAUGACCAAUAAAUGCCUAUCAAAUGCA